GAGUUUGAUCAUGGCUCAGGAUGAACGCUGGCGGCGUGCCUAACACAUGCAAGUCGAACGGAAAACCUAAACGGAAGUUUUCGGAUGGAAGUUUUUGUUUUUAGUGGCGGACGGGUGAGUAACGCGUGGGCAACCUGCCUCAUACAGGGGGAUAACAGACGGAAACGUCUGCUAAGACCGCAUAAGUCGGAUUUACCGCAUGGUAGAUUCGGGAAAAGAGCAAUCUGGUAUGAGAUGGGCCUGCGUCCGAUUAGCUGGUUGGUAAGGUAAAGGCUUACCAAGGCGACGAUCGGUAGCCGGACUGAGAGGUCGGACGGCCACAUUGGGACUGAGACACGGCCCAAACUCCUACGGGAGGCAGCAGUGGGGGAUAUUGCACAAUGGAGGAAACUCUGAUGCAGCGACGCCGCGUGAGUGAAGAAGUAUUUCGGCAUGUAAAGCUCUAUCAGCAGGGAAGAUGAUGACGGU
rnacentral:rRNA from 1 species